rnacentral:lncRNA from 1 species
CAAGACCACAAGGUUUCGAGGUGUGACCAAUGUCAAAGGAGAGGUAGGAAGAGCCCUUUGUCACUCUCUGUCCUGCCAUCUGAGGAACAUUUUCAUGAAU